rnacentral:rRNA from 1 species
UAGAGUUUGAUCCUGGCUCAGGACGAACGCUGGCGGCGUGCUUAACACAUGCAAGUCGAACGGUAAGGCCCUUUCGGGGGUACACGAGUGGCGAACGGGUGAGUAACACGUGGGUGACCUGCCCCUUACUCUGGGAUAAGCCUGGCAAACUGGGUCUAAUACCGGAUAUGACUCGCGAUCGCAUGGUUGUGCGUGGAAAGUUUUUCGGUGGGAGAUGGGGCCGCGGGCGUUUCGGCUUGGUGGGUCGUGGAUGUGCUACUGUGAGGUGGGGCGGAACCACGGCGGGGGAUUACUUCGUGGAUCGUAGGAGCGGGCGGGGGGUGGGGGGGGGGAGGGGGUGUGCGGGGUAGAAAGAAAUGGAGAGGGACGCGGGGCACGGCCCGUCCCCCGUUCACGCAGU